UACGUAGGGUGCGAGCGUUAAUCGGAAUUACUGGGCGUAAAGCGUGCGCAGGCGGUUCGUUGUGUCGGCGGUGAAAGCCCCGGGCUCAACCUGGGAAUGGCCGUUGAAACUGGCGAACUGGAGUGUGGCAGAGGGGGGUGGAAUUCCGCGUGUAGCAGUGAAAUGCGUAGAGAUGCGGAGGAACACCGAUGGCGAAGGCAGCCCCCUGGGCUGACACUGACGCUCAGGCACGAAAGCCAGGGGAGCGAACGGG
rnacentral:rRNA from 1 species